rnacentral:rRNA from 1 species
GACGUAGGGCGCGAGCGUUGUCCGGAUUUAUUGGGCGUAAGGGCUCGUAGGCGGUUUGUCGCGUCGGGAGUGAAAUCCACUGGCUUAACUGGUGGCUUGCUUUCGAUACGGGCAGACUGGAGGUAUGCAGGGGGAGAACGGAAUUCCUGGUGUAGCGGUGAAAUGCGCAGAUAUCAGGAGGAACACCGGUGGCGAAGGCGGUUCUCUGGGCAUGUCCUGACGCUGAGGAGCGAAAGUGUGGGGAGCGAACAGG